rnacentral:rRNA from 1 species
UAGGGAAUCUUCCGCAAUGGGCGAAAGCUUGACGGAGCAACGCCGCGUGAGUGAUGAAGGUCUUCGGAUCGUAAAACUCUGUUAUUAGGGAAGAACAAAUGUGUAAGUAACUAUGCACGUCUUGACGGUACCUAAUCAGAAAGCCACGGCUAACUACGUGCCAGCAGCCGCGGUAAUACGUAGGUGGCAAGCGUUAUCCGGAAUUAUUGGGCGUAAAGCGCGCGUAGGCGGUUUUUUAAGUCUGAUGUGAAAGCCCACGGCUCAACCGUGGAGGGUCAUUGGAAACUGGAAAACUUAAGUGCAGAAGAGGAAAGUGGAAUUCCAUGUGUAGCGGUGAAAUGCGCAGAGAUAUGGAGGAACACCAGUGGCGAAGGCGACUUUCUGGUCUGUAACUGACGCUGAUGUGCGAAAGCGUGGGGAUCAAACAGG